CGCCUGGGGAGUACGGCCGCAAGGUUAAAACUCAAAUGAAUUGACGGGGGCCCGCACAAGCGGUGGAGCAUGUGGUUUAAUUCGACGCAACGCGAAGAACCUUACCUGGCCUUGACAUGCAGAGAACUUUCCAGAGAUGGAUUGGUGCCUUCGGGAACUCUGACACAGGUGCUGCAUGGCCGUCGUCAGCUCGUGUCGUGAGAUGUUGGGUUAAGUCCCGUAACGAGCGCAACCCCUAUCCCUAGUUGCUAGCAGUUCGGCUGAGAACUCUAGGGAGACUGCCGGUGACAAACCGGAGGAAGGUGGGGAUGACGUCAGGUCAUCAUGGCCCUUACGGCCAGGGCUACACACGUGCUACAAUGGUGCGCACAGAGGGCUGCAAACCCGCGAGGGGGAGCCAAUCUCACAAAACGCAUCGUAGUCCGGAUCGCAGUCUGCAACUCGACUGCGUGAAGUCGGAAUCGCUAGUAAUCGUGAAUCAGAAUGUCACGGUGAAUACGUUCCCGGGCCUUGUACACACCGCCCGUCACACCAUGGGAGUGGAUUGCACCAGAAGUGGUUAGUCUAACUUUCGGGAGGACGAUCACCACGGUGUGGUUCAUGACUGGGGUGAAGUCGUAACAAGGUAACCGUA
rnacentral:rRNA from 1 species